rnacentral:rRNA from 1 species
CUGCUCAAUGAAUAUAAAUUUUUAAAUAGCUGCAGUAUAAAUAACUGUACAAAGGUAGCAUAAUAAUUUGUUUUUUAAUUGAAAACUAGAAUGAAUGAUUAAAUGAAAUAUAAACUGUAUCAAAUUUAAAAAAUAAAUUUAUUAUUUAAAUAAAAAAAUUUAAAUAAUUUUUAAAGACGAGAAGACCCUAAAGAAUUUUAAUAAUAAAUUAUUAUAAAUUAUUUAUAAUUUAUUAUAUUAAUUGGGGAAAUUUUAAAAUUUAAAAAAUUUUUAAUUAAAAAAACAUUAAUUUUUGAAUAUUUAAUAUUUUUUAAAAAAAUAAAUUAAUUACCUUAGGGAUAACAGCAUAAUUUUUUUAAAAAG